AUUGAACGCUGGCGGCAGGCCUAACACAUGCAAGUCGAGCGAGCGGCGGACGGGUGAGUAAUAUAUCGGAACGUGCCCAGUAGCGGGGGAUAACUACUCGAAAGAGUGGCUAAUACCGCAUACUUUUGGCGCGGCCGAUAUCGGAUUAGCUAGUUGGUGGGGUAAAGGCUCACCAAGGCAACGAUCCGUAGCUGGUUUGGGAGGACGACCAGCCACCCUGGGACUGAGACACGGCCCAGACCCCUACGGGAGGCAGCAGUGGGGAAUUUUGGACAAUGGGGGAACCCCUGAUCCAGCCAUCCCGCGGGUAUGAGAAGGCCUUCGGGUUGUAAAGUACUUUUGGCAGAGAAGCGGUAUCUGAAGAAUAAGCACCGGCUAACUACGUGCCAGCAGCCGCGGUAAUAC
rnacentral:rRNA from 1 species